UACGAAGGGGGCUAGCGUUGUUCGGAAUUACUGGGCGUAAAGCGCACGUAGGCGGAAUGUUAAGUCAGGGGUGAAAUCCCGGGGCUCAACCCCGGAACUGCCUUUGAUACUGGCAUUCUCGAGUCCGGAAGAGGUGAGUGGAAUUCCGAGUGUAGAGGUGAAAUUCGUAGAUAUUCGGAGGAACACCAGUGGCGAAGGCGGCUCACUGGUCCGGUACUGACGCUGAGGUGCGAAAGCGUGGGGAGCGAUCCGG
rnacentral:rRNA from 1 species